rnacentral:lncRNA from 1 species
CAUGAUUCCGUCACAUCGAAAUCAUAUAGAUUUCACAAAUACCCACGUGCUCCUAAAAAAAAUUUUGAGCGAGAAAAGGAGUAGAUUUAAAGAUUUCCUAAGACGGAAGCCUCACCAGAGCAAAGAAGAGGAGAAAAAAGAAACCUACUCUCCGAUAUAACUACGACUCCAAACAUUUUCUAGACUCGACUCGGCCAGAUACGAUCACACAAAGGCUCCUAUGGUCGUAAGGCUCUGAUUACCAACUUGUAACGUCCAAGAUGCGGUCCUUUCCGAUCUGGGGGUCGAGGCCCCCGAAUAGGAAAGAAGCGCAUCUAAGCGUUUCGCAAGCAAGUAAACAUAGCACAAAAUAAUAAUUACAAGUAGAAAAUUUGGGAUUCAACUGUCUUCUUAUUAAUAAUACAGAGUACAAUGC